rnacentral:rRNA from 1 species
AUGCUCAGACCAACUAAUACAUCUCUACAAUCAGUGCACGAACUCACUGAUGAUGGUACUUGGACAUGGAAAACGGAGCUUGUUCGUGAAACAUUCCUAGCCCCGGAUGCAGAAGCCAUACUGAAUAUACCAAUACGUACUGGUGGUGGGGAGGAUUUCUUUGCUUGGGCUUUCGAAAAUUCAGGUGUGUACUCUGUAAAGUCGGUGUACCGUGCUCUCGUGAAUCAAAAAGAGCGUUUGGCUCUAGAGGAAGGGACGGUUACCGGUACCUCAAAAACAGAACAGCAGAUGUGGACAUCUCUCUGGAAGCUCAAAGUUGUGCCUAAGGUGAGGUUUUUU